GUGGGGAAUCUUAGACAAUGGGCGCAAGCCUGAUCUAGCCAUGCCGCGUGAGCGAUGAAGGCCUUAGUGUUGUAAAGCUCUUUCAGGGGGGAAGAUAAUGACGGUACCCCCAGAAGAAGCCCCGGCUAACUCCGUGCCAGCAGCCGCGGUAAUACGGAGGGGGCUAGCGUUGUUCGGAAUUACUGGGCGUAAAGCGCACGUAGGCGGACCAGAAAGUCAGGGGUGAAAUCCCGGGGCUCAACCCCGGAACUGCCUUUGAAACUCCUGGUCUUGAGGUCGAGAGAGGUGAGUGGAAUUCCGAGUGUAGAGGUGAAAUUCGUAGAUAUUCGGAGGAACACCAGUGGCGAAGGCGGCUCACUGGCUCGAUACUGACGCUGAGGUGCGAAAGCGUGGGGAGCAAACAGGAUUAGAAACCCUAGUAGUCC
rnacentral:rRNA from 1 species